rfam:Otolemur garnettii contig026104, whole genome shotgun sequence.
GCCAGGCGCUGUGGUGGGUGCCUGUGGUCCCAGCUACUUAGGAGGCAGAGGCGAGAGACUGGCUUGAGCCCAGGAGAUGGAGGUUGCUGUGAGCUGUGAUGCCAUGGCACUCUACCCAGGGGGACAGCUUGAGGCUCUGUCUCAAAAAAAAAAAAAAAAAAAAGAAAUGAAGAGUAUCAGAGAAGGAAUAAUAAAAAUAAAAUAAAAUUUUUGUGUUUUGUUAUUCUUCUUUUUUUUUUUUUAGACGGAGCCUCAAGCUAUCCCCCUGGGUAGAGUGCCAUGGCAUCACAGCUCACAGCAACCUCCAACUCCUGGGCUCAAGCCAGUCUCCUGCCUCAG